AACGAACGCUGGCGGCAGGCUUAACACAUGCAAGUCGAACGCUCACUUCGGUGAGAGUGGCAGACGGGUGAGUAACGCGUGGGAAUAUACCUAUCAGUACGGAACAACAGUUGGAAACGACUGCUAAUACCGUAUACGCCCUUCGGGGGAAAGAUUCAUCGCUGAUAGAUUAGCCCGCGUUAGAUUAGCUAGUUGGUGGGGUAAAGGCCUACCAAGGCGACGAUCUAUAGCUGGUCUGAGAGGAUGAUCAGCCACACUGGGACUGAGACACGGCCCAGACUCCUACGGGAGGCAGCAGUGGGGAAUAUUGGACAAUGGGCGCAAGCCUGAUCCAGCCAUGCCGCGUGUGUGAUGAAGGCCUUAGGGUUGUAAAGCACUUUCAACGGUGAAGAUAAUGACGGUAACCGUAGAAGAAGCCCCGGCUAACUUCGUGCCAGCCGCCGCCGUAACAC
rnacentral:rRNA from 1 species